rnacentral:rRNA from 1 species
AGUGAAGCGGGAUGAGCUCAAGCUUAAAAUCUCCGUGCACGUUGUGCAUGGCGAAUUGUAGUCUAUAGAUGCGUGAUCAGUGCGACCGCUCGGGGUAAGUUCCUUGGAAGAGGACAGCAUCGAGGGUGAUACUCCCGUUUGUACCUGAGUGUGUUGUGCGUACGAUCCGUAUUCUUUGAGUCGCGUUGUUUGGGAAUGCAGCGCAAAGUAGGUGGUAAAUUCCAUCUAAAGCUAAAUAUUGGUGCGAGACCGAUAGCGAACAAGUACCGUGAGGGAAAGAUGAAAAGAACUUUGAAAAGAGAGUUAAAGAGUACCUGAAACUGCUGAAAGGGAACCGAAUCGUCUCCAGUGUUCUAUAAUCUGCGGCAUAUUUCAUUGGCGAGCGUGUGUGUGCGGCGCUUUUUGGCAGCGGCUUAAUUGCUGCGCCUGGUGUUGCUUGUGCGUGUGCUUGCUGGUGCCCUGUGCUGCGGUGGGACGUCAAGGUCAGUUCGUAUGCUGCGGGAAAUGACUGCCGAGGAGGUAGGGCUUACACUCUGUGUUUGUCUGUUAUAUCUUGGCGGACGUAGUAGUCGCGGUUGGGACUGAGGUGUUCUACAACGUGCUUUUUGAGUGUGCGGGUGUCUCGGUGUGCGUGCUGUGCGUAUAGCUUGCUAUGUGCGCGGUUUUUUAGCGUGUCGAUUGAUGCCUGCGGUAACUUGUCGCCGUUCGGGACUUUGACGAAAUGGAGCGAUCCGACCCGUCUUGAAACACGGACCAAGGAGUCUAACAUGUGUGCAAGUGUUAGGGUGUGGAAACCCCAGCGCGCAAUGAAAGUAAAGGACAGCGUAAGUUGUCUGAGGUAGGAAACUCUGGGCUCUCGGGCUCCGGGGUGGCACUAUCGACCGAUCAUGACCCCUCGUGGCGAAAGAUUUGAGUUUGAGCACAUAUGUUGGUACCCGAAAGAUGGUGAACUAUG